AGAGAGGAAUAAAGAAAGAAGAGAGAGAAAAAAUGAGAGAGAGAGAAAGAAGAGAUAGAAAGACUCUCUUCUUCUCUAAAUAAGAAAGAUCUCAUCUCUCCCUUUUUUCAAGUCAUGGUCAAGACCAAUAAGUGAGGGAUAGUAGCAAUCUAGAGUGACAACUAGCCAUAGCAUUUGGUGAUGGUGAUAGGCUGGUGGGG
rnacentral:lncRNA from 1 species